rnacentral:rRNA from 1 species
UACGAAGGGGGCUAGCGUUGUUCGGAAUCACUGGGCGUAAAGCGCACGUAGGCGGAUUGUUAAGUCAGGGGUGAAAUUCCGGGGCUCAACCUCGGAACUGCCUUUGAUACUGGAGGAUCUUGAGUCCGGGAGAGGUGAGUGGAACUGCGAGUGUAGAGGUGAAAUUCGUAGAUAUUCGCAAGAACACCAGUGGCGAAGGCGGCUCACUGGCCCGGAACUGACGCUGAGGUGCGAAAGCGUGGGGAGCAAACAGG